ACACAAAGGAAGAGACUUGUGACUUCGUUGACGUUAUCGUACGAUGCAAUCUUCAAUCUCUUGCGAAAAUAGCCGAGAAUACUGCGGCUGAGAGCAAGAAGAAGAUGUCUCUGUGAUGAGUCUUUGUCGUUGUCGGGUAGUUUCGUUAGAUCCGACGUCGUUUUCUAGAUUUUUAGCCGUCGUGUGAUCUAUGUUUUUUCGGCUUA
rnacentral:sRNA from 1 species